rnacentral:misc_RNA from 1 species
AAGUCGUAACAAGGUUUCCGUAGGUGAACCUGCGGAAGGAUCAUCAUUGAAUCUAUUCUAAUUAACCUCUGUGAACUGUACGUGUAAGAGCUUGUUGGUGGGAAGACGCCCUCACAGGUGUCGCGUCUCGGCUCGUCCGAGUGCCUGCCAACCUGCUCGCCUUUUAACAAACUUUUAAAACAAUUACUGAUAAAAUUUAUUUAAUAAAAACAACUUUCAACAAUGGAUCUCUUGGUUCUC